GCCAUUUUCUUCUCCAGGGGAUCUUCCCAACCCAGGGAUCGAACCCGGGUCUCCCGCAUUGCAGGCAGACGCUUUACCAUCUGAGCCACUGAGGUGGCUUUUUUAAUAUAAAUCAAAAUUAGGCUGAUUUAAAAAGUAGGUGACUAGGUAUUCAUACCUGACCUCCCGCCCUCUGCCUUUACUCCAUUUUUUGUCAGGUCACCUGAGAGUGAUAGCCAAUGCAGCUGGCCACAGAGGAGGGUUGAGAAAGAAAAUAGGAAGGAAUGAGGGUUAAGAAAAUAAGUGGCAGAGGGGAAAGGAACAGCAGUUUUUUGACCCCAUAAAAAUUUCAUCCAAAAUCUGAUGGCCAGAGAGACCAGAGCCUUGCUAAUUAAGGUGCUUCUAAUUGGAAAACUUGUGAAUUCAGAUUAAGGGUGACCUUUUUCAUGAGACCUUUUUUCCACAGGGGGACGAUGAGUCAAUAAUAUAAAAAGCCUGCAGCAAUAAGUUACAACAGACACGUGGCUGCUUCCAUCUUGUCUUCACUGCACCCCCCCCCCAUCACUUGUUCCUGGGGGAAGUCAGCUGCCAAGUCACUAGUAGCCGCAUGGAGAGGCCCUCGUAGCAAAGAAAGCAUAGAUGCUCCAGACCCAGUCAAGGGUCAGAUGACCGCAACACCCACCAACGUCUGGACGGGAGCCUCUUGGGAGACCCUGCAUGGGAACCACCGGCUAAGCCACUCAGAUACCUGAGCCUCAGAAACUGCAAGAUCGCUUGCCCUGGGAGAAGCCAGCAGCCCUCUGAAGAGGGCCAUGUGGUGAAGAACCGAGGCUGCUGGCCAAAGUCAGCAAGGAAUGGAGGCUUCCUUCCAACAGAGAGAAAACAAGAUGCUUGGGCCAUCU